CAAUGCAGCUCUGAGAAACACUGGUUCUCUCCUGAGUUUCAGGAGAUUUAAAUGUUAUUCCCAGAGGGAAUGGCAGCACUGCAUUGGUCAGGCCAGGAGGACCUGUCAGGCAGAGGACUGAAGCACAUUGCUGUCUGAGAGAGCUGGGACUGGUCAGCCUGGAGGAGAGAAAGCACUUUCCAGUGCCCAAAGGCAAGAGCUGGAAAGGAAGUUUUUACAAGGGCAUGUAGAAGUAGGACAAGCAGCAAUGGCUUCAAAUUGAGAGUAGAUUUAGAUUAGACAUAAGGAAGAAAUUAUUUACUGUGAGGGUAGUGAGGCACUGGCACAGGUUGCCUAGAGAAGCUGUGGAUACCCCAUCCCUGGAAAUGUUCAAGGUCAGAUUGGAGGGGGCUUUGAGAAACCUGGUCUAGUAGAAGUUGUCCCUGCCCAUGGCAGGGGCUUGGAAGAGGAUGAUCUUCAAGGUCCGUUCCAAACUGUUCUAUGAUUCUAUAAUUCUGUGGUUCUUUGAGGCCAAGGCUGACCAGCUCCAUCUGGCCAUGGUCUCCAAGGUGCAUCUAGGCUGCCAAGAUGGCACAUUCCUUACUCCCCAUUCCCUUUGUUUAUACUGGGAACCUGUAACUCCCCCAACUCAUGUUUCACCUCAUGGGAAGUGUCCGUACAGGAGAGGUGAAGGUGACACCAGGAGCAUCUCCCCACAGGCACUGGGAAUGCAGCAAGGAGCUGCACAGAAACAAUUUCUACCUUUCAUCAACCUGAAGUAUUUGGUGACAUUAAACAGUUUCUGUACAGGACAAGGAAUUUAGGAAAAGAAGGAAGGGACCAUCAUGAGAGAGUGCAAUUCAGGAAGAAAUAUUGAACUAGUGACAGGAGAGAUGGGCACUCAAAGGCUGGGGAGCCAGUCUGAGGAGGAGGUGAAGUUUGUGGCUCACAAGCAACACAUGCAGCUAUUCAGGCCAUUAAGAAAGAAUGGGAGGAGUAUAAAGAAGCCAGAGGAGGACUUGUCACAUUUAAAUGCAUUUAUUCCCUAUAUAAGAGGAAAACUGCCAGAAAGAAACAUUGUUUGGUGGUGACAGGUGCAGCCACAAAAGGAGCUCAGGAAACUCUUCCCAGCAUUUCUGUGAUGACAGUGAUUUAACAGCAACCACAGGCUUCAGUUUGUCUGUAAAUAAAGUGAUCUAAAAAAAACUUUGAGUUUUGGAUUUUUGCCAAUUAGAUAAACAGUGUUUGUGUAUGUGAUAAUUACCCCAAACACCAGCAUGUAUUACUCAGUUAAUACUCUUAAUGCUGCUUCAUUCCAGAAGACAGUCUUCACUUUUAGGUGAGAAAACUAUCAUUCCUUCCAAAUGUUUACCUUGAACUGUGUAACAAAAACAGAAAUGUCUGAACAUGUUGUAGAACCAAACAUCUGGAAUUCAAACCAUUUUUUUGGCUUAAGUCAGAUUCACAGAAGAGCAGUAAUAGGUGUAUGUGGGAUUAAAGGGUUAAAAUCCUAUGCAUAUUCAGGAAGAGGUUGUAAUGCAGAAUAUUUCUUCCAGUGUGAUGGGAACAGUUUUUCUGUGAUUUCUGAGCUAAUAUUAUUGGUUGUGAUAGCAGUAUCUUCAGGCGUUUUGCCACAGCAUCAGUACACAAAAAAGGUGGUUUUGCCUGUUGUGACCUCUUUGUACACCAUUGCAGUGUGGACAGA